AACAACUGUGCUUCAACAGCAUUUCACUUCUUUCUGGAGGCCACUCAACAACAUGGUUUACCCUCAAGGGUACGAGCUGACCAGGGAGUAGAGAACGUGGACAUCGCCCGGUUUAUGUUCACAGUCCGUGGCAACAAUCGUGGAAGUUUCAUCUCGGGAAAGAGUGUCCACAAUCAAAGGAUAGAGCGGUUAUGGCGAGAUUUGUGGAUCUCUGUAUCGUUCAAGUAUUCCAACCUUCUGUAUUCUCUUGAAGA